AGAGUUUGAUCAUGGCUCAGGAUGAACGCUAGCGGCAGGCCUAAUACAUGCAAGUCGAACGAUACCAGGGAGCUUGCUCUCUGGGAAAGUGGCGCACGGGUGCGUAACGCGUAUGCAACCUACCUUAAUCAGGGGGAUAGCCUCUCGAAAGAGAGAUUAACACCGCAUAAAAUCAAAGAAUGGCAUCAUUCAAUGAUCAAAUAUUUAUAGGAUUAAGAUGGGCAUGCGUGACAUUAGCUAGUUGGUGAGGUAACGGCUCACCAAGGCGACGAUGUCUAGGGGAUCUGAGAGGAUGACCCCCCACACUGGUACUGAGACACGGACCAGACUCCUACGGGAGGCAGCGGUAAGGAAUAUUGGUCAAUGGAGGCAACUCUGAACCAGCCAUGGCCGCGUGCAGGAAGACGGCCCUAUGGGUUGUAAACUGCUUUUAUACCGGAGUAAACCUCGUUUCGUGAAACGAGUUGAAUGUACGGUAAGAAUAAGGAUCGGCUAACUCCGUGCCAGCAGCCGCGGUAAUACGGAGGAUCCAAGCGUUAUCCGGAUUUAUUGGGUUUAAAGGGUGCGUAGGCGGCCUAUUAAGUCAGGGGUGAAAGACGGUGGCUCAACCAUCGCAGUGCCCUUGAUACUGAUGGGCUUGAAUACACUUGAGGUAGGCGGAAUGUGACAAGUAGCGGUGAAAUGCAUAGAUAUGUCACAGAACACCAAUUGCGAAGGCAGCUUACUAAGGUGCAAUUGACGCUG
rnacentral:rRNA from 1 species